GGGGGUGUAGCUCAGGGGGGUACAGCAUUCAACUGCAGAUCGAGAGGUCCCCGGUUCAAACCCGGAUGCUCACUUCUUCA